CCGAGAAAUAAUUAGCUAUAGCCUAAAGUAUUUCCAGACUGCAAUGUGUGUUUUUUGCAGCGCCUCUGAAGAUCACCAAAACCAUCCAGCAGAGGCCUGUGGGAAUGACCAGCGGGAUCCGCUUCAGCGUUCCCCGUGCCGCCGCUCCGGUUUCACCUGCUGCUGAUGAUGAUGAUGAUGAUGAUGAUGAAGAUGGAGCUGUGAUACCCAACAAACAGAUGAAGAUCACUACAGCUAACAACCUGCAGACACGAGUGAGACUCACACACACAAACUCACACACACACUCUCCCACUCACGCUCACACGCACUCUCACACACAAACUCACACACACACUCUCACACUCACGCGCACACACACAAACUCACACACACACUCUCACACUCACGCGCACACACACAAACUCACACACACACUCUCACACUCACGCGCACACACACGAACUCACACGCACUCUCACACACACGCUCACGCACACACACGAACUCUCACACACACACUCAUGCUCACACACGAACUCUCACACACACACUCAUGCUCACACACGAACUCUCACACACACACUCAUGCUCACACACGAACUCUCACACACACACGCCUUCACACACACACACGAACUCUCACACACACACACGCCACGCACUCUCACACGCAUUCACACACACACGCACACACACGCUCACGCACACACACGCUCACGCACACACACGCACUCUCGCACUCUCACAAGCACACACACACUCACACACGCACACUCACGCACACGCACACUCACGCGCACGCACGCACACUCACACACGCACACUCACGCACGCUCACGCACACACACUCACGCACGAACACACACUCACGCACACUCACACUCACACACACACACUCACGCAC
rnacentral:lncRNA from 1 species